rnacentral:lncRNA from 1 species
CAGAGACAUGCAAAUCUCUGAGUUCCAGGUCAGCAUUAUCUAUAGAGCAAGUUCUAGGACAGCCACUGCUACACACAUAGAAAUCUGUCUAGAAACCCCCACCCAAAAAAUAUAUUCCAUGAAACUUUCUUUUUAAAUAAAUUAAUCAAUGAGUCAGUAAUUCCAUGGCCACUUUGUCCCUAGAGUGUUCUUUGUAAUUUUGUUUCUGUUACUAAAAAUAAUUUAUUUUCUAUAUAUAGGAAUACAUAUCCUAUUAUGGUUUCUUCUACUCCUUUCAUUUCCUCCCAAUCUCUUUCCAUCGAAUCCACUCUAUUUUCUAUCUCUCUUUGAAAACAAACAGGCAUUUCAGGGAUAAUAAUAAAAUAUAAUACGAUAAAACAAAAGCAAACAAAUCAGAAUAAGACAAAAUGAACAGAAAGAAAAGAAACCAAGAAAAGGCACCAAAAAAAAAAAAAAAAAAGAUAAAGAUUCUGAGACCCACUAAUCUACACGUUCAGAAAUUCUAUAAAAACAAAACUGGAAGCUAUAAUCUUUAUGCAAAGGACCUUUAGAAUUAAAAAAAUAAUAAUAACGAAAAGAAUGAAGCCCUGACAUGAUAUGAGGAGACAAGGAUCAUUGAAAGAUUUCUUUUCUUUCUUUCUUUCUUUCUUUCUUUCUUUCUUUCUUUCUUUCUUUCUUUCUUUCUUUCUUUUUUUAAGAUUAAGAUUUAUUUUAUCUAUAUGAGUACAUUGUAGCUGUCUUCAGACACACCAGAAGAAGGCAUCAGAUCCCAUUAUGGUUAGUUGUGAGCCACUAUGUGGUUGCUGAGAAUUGAACUCAGGACCACUGGAAGAGCAGUCAGUGCUCUUAAUUGCUGAGCCAUCUCCAUUGAGUUUCUUUUCUUUCUCUCUUUUUAAAAAUUUGAUUAUUUUAUUAAUUUACAUGCCAUCCAUCCAUAGCCUUCUGUCCCUGUCCCUCCUCCCACAGUUCCUCUCCCAUUCCCCUUCCCCCUUGCCUCCAAGAGGUUGCUUUUACACACACACACCUGGAAUCUCCCUUCCCUGGGACUUAAAGUCUCUAGAGUAUUAGGAGCAUCUUCUCCCACUGAGGCCAGGCCAAACCAGUCUUCUGUUAAAUAUGUGCCAGGGGGCUCAGACCAGCCCAUGUGUGCUGCUAGUUGGUGGCUCAGUCUCUGGGAGCUCCCAGGGGUCCAGGUUAGUUGAGACUGCUGGUCUUCCAAUGGGGUUGCCCUCUCCUUCAUCUCCUUCAAUCCUUCCCCUAAUUCAACCAUAGGGGUCCCUGACCAGUCCAAUUGUUGAGUAUAAGUAUUUGCAUCUGUCUCAGUUAGCUGCUGGUAGGACCUCUCAGAGGAAAGCCAUGCCAGGUUCCCAACUGUCAGUAUAUCAUAGCAUCAGUAAUAGUGUCAGACCGUGGUGUUCCCCUCCCCCCAUAAGAUGGAUCCCAAGUUGGGCUGGUCAUUGGUCUGCCUUUCAUUCUCUUCUCCAUUUAUGUCCCUGAAGUUCUUUCAGAUAGGAACAAUUCUGGAUCAGAAAUUUUGACUGGGUUGGUAACCCCAUCUUUCCACUUGGGGUCCUGUCUAUAUACUGGAGGAGGAAUCUUCAAGUUCCCUCUCCCCAGUGUUGGGUAUUUUGGCUGAGGCCAUCCUCAUUGAGCACCUUCUCCAAAACUGACCAUAUAGUCAGACACAAAUCAAGCCUCAACAGAUAUAAAAAGAUUGAAAUAAUCCCAUACAUUCUCUCAGAUCACCACAUACUAAGGCUGGACUUCAGUAACAACAAAAACAACAGAAACCCCACAUACUCAUGAAAACUGAACAACUCUCCACUCAAUGAUAACUUGGUCAGGAGAGAAAUAAAGAAUAAAAUUAAAGACUAUAGAAUUCAAUGAAAAUGAAGACAGAGCACACUCAAGCUUGUGGAACACAGUGAAAGCCAUGCUAAGAUGAAAAUUUAUAGCACUGAGUGCCUUCAUAAAGAAAUUGGAAAGAUCCCAAAUUAGCAACUUAACAGCACACCUGAAAGCUCUAGAAUACAAAGAAGCACUCUCAAGAGGAAUAGACAGCAGGAAAUAGUCAAACUCAGAUCUAAAAUCAACCAAUUGGAAACAAAAUGAAUGAUAUAAAGAUAUAUAAACCCUUAGCCAAACUAACUAAAGAGCACAGAAACAGUAUACAAAUUAACAAAAUCAGAAAUGAAAAGGGACACAUAAGAACAGAAGCUGAGAAAAUUCUAAAAAUCAUCAGAUCUUACUGCAAAAGCCUGUACUCAGCAAAACUGGAAAAUCCAGAUGAAAUAGAUUUUUCUAGACAGAUAUCAAGUACCCAAGUUAAAUCAAGAUCAGGUAAAGUAUCUAAACAGUCCUAUUACACCUACGGAAGUAGAUGUAGUCACUAAAAUCUUCCCAACC